rnacentral:rRNA from 1 species
UGUUUCGGCUAGGGGGCCAUCCCGGCUUACCAACCCGAUGCAAACUGCGAAUACCGGAGAAUGUUAUCACGGGAGACACACGGCGGGUGCUAACGUCCGUCGUGAAGAGGGAAACAACCCAGACCGCCAGCUAAGGUCCCAAAGUCAUGGUUAAGUGGGAAACGAUGUGGGAAGGCCCAGACAGCCAGGAUGUUGGCUUAGAAGCAGCCAUCAUUUAAAGAAAGCGUAAUAGCUCACUGGUCGAGUCGGCCUGCGCGGAAGAUGUAACGGGGCUAAACCAUGCACCGAAGCUGCGGCAGCGACACUUUAGUGUUGUUGGGUAGGGGAGCGUUCUGUAAGCCGUUGAAGGUGUCCUGUGAGGGGUGCUGGAGGUAUCAGAAGUGCGAAUGCUGACAUAAGUAACGAUAAAGCGGGUGAAAAGCCCGCUCGCCGGAAGACCAAGGGUUCCUGUCCAACGUUAAUCGGGGCAGGGUGAGUCGACCCCUAAGGCGAGGCCGAAAGGCGUAGUCGAUGGGAAACGGGUUAAUAUUCCCGUACUUGGUGUUACUGCGAAGGGGGGACGGAGAAGGCUAUGUUGGCCGGGCGACGGUUGUCCCGGUUUAAGCGUGUAGGUGUGUGUUCCAGGUAAAUCCGGUUCACUUUAACACUGAGGCGUGAUGACGAGGCAC